rnacentral:rRNA from 1 species
UUUUGUGUACAAUCCUGAACACAUCUAAUCUUGUCUGAUUUUUAAAGCUAAGCAGGACUGGAUCUGGUUAAUAUUUGAAUUGAAACCAUCAAGUAACACUAGCU